ACUAUUUCGGUGCGUUCUUAC
rnacentral:siRNA from 1 species